rnacentral:rRNA from 1 species
AGCAGCCGCGGUAAUUCCAGCUCCAAUAGCGUAUAUUAAAGUUGUUGCAGUUAAAAAGCUCGUAGUUGAAUUUCGGGAUUGACGUGAUGGUCGUGCCUUAAGGGGUAUGAACUGUUGCAGUUGAUUUCUCACCUUCUGGAAAAACUUGAUGUCCUUUAUUGGGUGUCUUGCGGAUCCAGGACCUUUACCUUGAAAAAAUUAGAGUGUUUAAAGCAGGCAUUUUUGCUCGAAUACAUUAGCAUGGAAUAAUAGAAUAGGACGGCAUGGUUCUAUUUUGUUGGUUUCUAGGAUCACCGUAAUGAUUAAUAGGGAUAGUUGGGGGCAUUAGUAUUCAAUUGUCAGAGGUGAAAUUCUUGGAUUUAUUGAAGACUAACUACUGCGAAAGCAUUUGCCAAGGAUGUUUUCAUUAAUCAAGAACGAAAGUUAGGGGAUCGAAGACGAUCAGAUACCGUCGUAGUCUUAACCAUAAACUAUGCCGACUAGGAAUCAGACGAUGUUAAUUUUUUAAUGACUCGUUUGG